AUGAGGGCGGAUCUCAGCACCAUCCAGCAGACGCUCACGCCAGAGGCGGCGGCGGCGCUGGCGCGAGCCAUGGACGAAGCGGCUCGACGGAGGCACGUCUCCACCACGCCGCUCCACGUCGCCGCCGCGCUGCUCGCCGCGCCGGCUGGCCUGCUGCGCCAGGCCUGCGCGCGGGCCGUGGCCGCGGGAGGCGCUGCUGCCGCCUCUGGUGGCGCCGGCGCGCACCCGCUCCACUGCCGCGCUCUUGAGCUCUGUUUCUCCGUCGCGCUAGACAGGUUGCCUGCCUUUGCGGGGGGCGCGAUUGGAGGCGGGGCCGCUGCUCCUCCCGUUUCCAACGCGCUCGUUGCGGCUCUCAAGCGCGCGCAGGCCCAGCAGCGGCGGGGCUGCCCUGAGGCGGCACAGCAGCCGCUCCUCGCCGUUAAGGUGGAGCUCGAGCAGCUCGUGCUCUCCAUCCUCGACGACCCUUCGGUCAGCCGCGUCAUGCGCGAGGCGUCCUUCUCAUCUUCUGCCGUGAAGAACACCAUCGAACAGUCUCUCACCUCACCCUCCCCGUCGUCUUCCACCGCAGCGUCUAGUCCUGUACCGACGCCAACCCCCUUCUCCCCAUCCCUUUCCUCUCUUCUGCGCGCCGGCACCGCUAACGCAUACAUCAACCCUCGGCUGGCGGCUGCGGCGGCUGGAGCCAGCUGCGGGGAUGAUGCGCGCAAGGUGCUUGAUGUCAUGCUCAAGCCAGCGCGCCGCAACCCGGUGAUCGUCGGAGACUCCGGACCGGACGUGGUUCUGAAGGAGGCCAUUCGAAUAAUCCCAGCGGCCAGCUCCGCUGCCCUCGCUGCAGCCAAGAUCCUGCAUCUGGAGGCGGAACUCACCAAGCUUGCUGGCGACAAGGUGGCGAUGGCGGAGAGGAUCGGGAAGCUGGGCGCCGUAGUCGAGAGGCUCGUCGGCGAGCACGGCGGGGUGGUUCUUGACCUCGGGGACCUGAAGUGGAUGGUGGAAGGCCCUGCCGCGUCGUCGUCUGAGGGGGGCAAGGCGGCCAUUGCUGAGAUGGGGCGUCUGCUCAGGCGUUUCGGGCGCGGUGAAGUGUGGGCCGUCGCCACUGCAGCGUGCGCCACGUACCUCAGGUGUAAGAUCUAUCACCCAGGAAUGGAGGAUGAAUGGGAUCUCCAAGCCAUGCCGAUCGCCCGCAGCACACCGCUUGCUGGAGCUGCUCUGAGGCCUGGAAGCAGUGGAACUCUCAGCAACUCGGUGGGGAUGUUAUCACCAAUGCUCCGGCCUUUGCCGGUGACACCAACACCUCUCAGAUGGCCGCCAGGGGGUGGCCAUACUCAGAUGGUGAAGCCGGCCAUGUGCAUGCUCUGCAAGGGUGGUUAUGAGAGUGAGCUCGCCAAACUUGCAGCGGAGCGGACGGCAGUAUCCGUCCCUGAGGCUGCUAACCCUAGUUUGCCGCACUGGCUGCAGCGGACCAAUGAUCAAAAUCAGUCUAAGGCACAAGAGUUGAAAUGGAAAAGGAGCACAGAUGAGCUUGAGAAGAAAUGGCGUGAGACCUGUGCCCAUAUCCACUUGACCCAUGCUGGAGCGCCAGCACUCUCCGUGCCAUUGGCCUCGUCCGGAACAUGUCCACGUGUUGAGGUCAACUUGCCUAUUGCAAGGGGUGCUGCUAUUCAGACUCUUAAGAUGAACACUAACCGGGAUAAGCCAGCAUCCAGCCCGAUAGUUGACCUCCACAAGAGCCCACCAGGAAGCCCAGUGAAAACUGAUCUUAUGCUGGGUCGCUUGGACCCUGCCAUCAAUCCUACUAUGGAUAAAGAGCGGAAGGAAAAUUAUGAGGGGCUAACUGCCCUGCAGAAGGCUAAGAUAGCUGGAAUUUCAGAUAUUGAUUCCUUCAAAAGGCUCAUCAAGGGGCUGACAGAGAAGGUUAGCUGGCAGUCUGAUGCCGCUUCAGCCAUUGCUGCUGUUGUUGUACAAUGCCGAUCUGGAAGUGAGAAGCGUCGGACCCUUCGAACAAGAGGUGACAUGUGGCUCAUGUUUGUUGGCUCUGAUAAGGCAGGUAAGCGGAAAAUGGUGAACGCGUUGUCUGAGCUGAUGGCAAACACGAGACCAGUAAUUGUGAACUUUGGUGGUGACUCCGAAUUGGGAAGGGCUAAGAAUGAUGGACUGAACAUGGGUCUCUGGGGGAAAACUGCACUUGAUCGGGUCACUGAGGCAGUUCGGCAGAACCCAUUCUCAGUAAUUGUUCUGGAAUGCAUUGAUCGAUUGGACAUAGUUGUUCGUGGAAAGAUCAAGCGGGCAAUGGAGACUGGUCGUCUGCCGGACUCUCGUGGCCGUGAGGUCAGCCUUGGCAAUGUCAUCUUUGUUUUUACCACCAAUUGGGUACCUGAUGAACUUAAAGGGCCGGACGUCGAGUCUUUACUACAAGGUGAACUAAGAAUGUUGGAGAUGGCAGGCUCUAGUUGGCAGCUAGAGCUCUCGAUUGGGGACAAGAAGGCCAAGCACCGAGCAGAUUGGCUAUGUGAUGAUGUUCGCCCUGCAAAGGUAGCAAAAGAUUUGUCCAGUAGCCAUGGUUUGUCGCUUGACCUCAAUUUGGCAGUUGGUGCCUUGGAUGACACCGAGAGUUCACAUAAUUCUAGUGAUGUCUCAGUGGAGCAAGAGCAAGAGAAAGGGCAGCUUGCAGUACUGUGUUCGACGCCUGCCCCUGACUGCGAUCUAUUGGGACUCGUUGACGAUGCCAUUGUGUUUCGACCAGUUGACUUCAAUCCAUUUCGGAAGACUAUUAGAGAUUGCAUAUCAGCAAAAUUUGAAUUGGUCAUUGGGAGCAUCAAUUCAUUCAGAAUCGAUGAAGAUGCCAUUGACCAUAUGGUUAGCAGUGUCUGGCUCACUGAUGAGAGGUUCGAGGACUGGGCUGGAGAAGUAAUUAUGCCAAGCAUUGAACGAUUGUGGCGCAACGUAAAGCAUGAUAGCGCUCGUGCUGUCGUCCGUCUCGCAUUAGUUGCGGACGAGGCGUUGCCAAGGUGGGGUGAGGGAAGGGAAGGGCUACCAGCGACUGUAACGAUUGCCAUCGAUGGAAUGUAG
rnacentral:rRNA from 1 species